rnacentral:lncRNA from 1 species
GUUAGCCUGGCUCUUGAGCCUGGCUGAUAGAAACUCCCCCAAUCCCCACUUGUUUCUAUGUUUAGGGUUUGGGCAAACUGGUGUUUUCACUCUCAGGGGCUAGCUCCAUUUGUCUGGCCACUUUUCUGACUACAGUGUUGGGUACUGAACCUUUACAACAAGGCUGUGAGGGCUGAGCACUCAGAGGCAGAGGCUGGGGGAUCCCUGAGUUCAAGGCUACCCAGGGCUACACAACCCAGACCGUGGCUCCUAACAGCACAGAACAGAGUAGUGGACUAACUGCCAUGUACAUAUGAUCUGUAGCCUUUACAGUGGCCUUGAAAGUUGCUAAUCCCCAUUAAUGAUGAAGAGACUGAAGGUCAUGGGACACAAACUUCAGCUUGGAAGGGCACCUGCUGCCCUAGCCCUCACCUGGUUCCCCAGCAUCCCAGACAACAGUCCCCUGUGUGGCUCCUGGUGUGAUGUGCACUAGGCCCAGAAGGACACGGAGAGAAUGUGCACAGCCUUGUCCCGGCGCUGGAAAACAGAAGCUAACCUGUAAGCAAUUAGAGGAUGUUUUCAGCUAGUGAGGAAGACUUAGCUUUUAAAAAGUAAAAAGCAGGAACAGGACACCAGAGAAGUACCGGCUGCUUCCAGGGCUGGGAGUUGAUUCCUGUUAAUGCCAAGAAACUAGGAUCCUCCAUUUCCUUGUUCUCCUUACCACUUUAAUAAAGAAAAAGAAUCACGUGUUUC